AUUGAACGCUGGCGGCAGGCCUAACACAUGCAAGUCGAGCGGAUGAAGGGAGCUUGCUCCUGGAUUCAGCGGCGGACGGGUGAGUAAUGCCUAGGAAUCUGCCUGGUAGUGGGGGAUAACGUCCGGAAACGGGCGCUAAUACCGCAUACGUCCUGAGGGAGAAAGUGGGGGAUCUUCGGACCUCACGCUAUCAGAUGAGCCUAGGUCGGAUUAGCUAGUUGGUGGGGUAAAGGCCUACCAAGGCGACGAUCCGUCACUGGUCUGAGAGGAUGAUCAGUCACACUGGAACUGAGAAAAGGUCCAGACUCCUAAGGGAGGCAGCAGGGGGGAAUAUUGGACCAUGGGCGAAAGCCUGAUCCAGGCAUGACGCGUUUGUGAAGAAGGUCUUCGGAUUUGAAAACACUUUUAGUUGGGAGGAAAGGCAGUAAGUUAAUACCUUGCUGUUUUGACGGUACCAACAGAAUAAGCACCGGCUAACCUCGUG
rnacentral:rRNA from 1 species